rnacentral:snoRNA from 1 species
GGCCUCCUGGUGCUUACCACAGGCUCUGUUCUUGCACUGACAGUACAGAUCAGGAAGAGGAAAAGUAAACCUACCCCAUAUAUACCUCAACCUGGGCCCUGUGCCUGGUCUGUAUUGUGAAUGGGAAGACGUGG